GCCUCCUCCCAUCCAGCCAGGGCCUCUCUGCAGCCUUCCUCUCCCGGGUGCCGCCAGGGGUCGCUGUGAGGCGCCCCGUCCCAAUGUGACCAAGGAGCUGAGGGGGCCAGAGCAGAGAGAAUGGUACUUGAGGUGGGCAGCAAUUUAUGGCCCUUGGAAGGCAAGGGCAGGUGGUGUGGGCGCCCUGGACAGGUCCCUGUCCCUUCUCCCUGGGCCAAGAUGAGGCCCUGGGCUCCCACUAAACGUGACUCCAUCUAUACACGGUGCCUGAUCUCCAGAGCUCAAAUUCAAGGCCCAUCACACCCACCUGUCCAGCUCAUCUCUGACCAUGUCCAUGCCACAAGCAGUCCCUGGCAGCAGGUCCAGCAAGGUAGGGGAAGGCCAAUGUCUGUUGGAGGCCAUUGAGAGGACCUGAUUACCGACUGACCCUCGAGCUGGACCUGGGCAGCUGGAGGCUCUUCACCUCCUUCACUGUCCUUGGAAUGUGUGUUUGGCUGCUUGCCUUCCCUGCACUAGAAGCUGCCCAAGGACACAGCCUUGGAGAGUCACCUGUUGUUGAGACCAUUGGACAGUAUACAUGACUGAACCCAGGCUCUCCUGGCCUUACAGGCGUUUUACUUGGUGGAGCUUUGAAACUCAACAGAGCAUGGCCUGUCUGAUCAUCUCAAGACAAACCUCUGCGAAAGAAUCCCAUCAGGGUAGCAGGCCUGGGGAGACAGGCGCAGAGGUUCUGGAUACAUUCUGGCUGCUGCAGAGUGCUGAGAAGGGCUCCCUGCAAACUUCCAAGCUCCUCUCAGGGCUGGGCAGCCAGGAAGCAGUUCCUGUGCGGAGGUGCCACUGGAGGCUCUGGUCUGCAUCAGCUCCUUUACAGAUCUGUGGGUGGAAGAUUGCCAGCAGCUGAGCUGGGCGUCCAGGGAUAGCCCAGGCCCAUGGGGGUCUAGGGUUAGGUGGGUGAGGAGUCGGGGGAGGCCUAUUGGUCUCUGUGGAGCAGCCAGUGUGGACACUGCAGAGGAAGGAACCUACAGAGAUCUGGGGUCUCCAUCCUCCUUCCUGAUGACAGCAGCCUGAUGAGAACACGGCUUCCACCCUGGGGAGCUCGCCGCCCACUUUGGGAGGCGUGGCCCCUAGCUGGCUGACUUGGGGUACGGGGACCACACCUCUUUCUCCCUGGACACCAGGGCCAGCUCAGUGCCAGACACACAAGGAACGCAAUAUUUGCCAAUGAACAAGUUCCAUUUUUCCUUUUCCUAUGCCUCAGUUUCCCCAGAGAUGGUGUCCUGAACUGGGGAGAGCCUGGCUGUAGUGCGUGUUACUGCUUGGAAAGCUUCCGAUGGCCGUGACUGUGCUAAGACCACUGACAUUAGCCUGAGACACCUCGCUGGUUGUGCGCUUGCAGGGCCAGGAUAACACUGGGACUGUAAAGACUGUUUUGUCCCAUUUGUUCAUUUUUAUGGUGGAGUAACAGACCAGAGGGAAUCAACGACUUGCUCCAUGCCACGCGGCGAGGCAGUGGGAGAGCCAGGGAUAGUGUUCUUCUAGGACCUGAACUGUCGGAGGACAGCCUCCUUCAUGUCAAGGAAUCCCGACCUCCUAGCAACCCACAGGACAACCACAGGAAAGGUCCUCCAACCUCGCACGGGGCCCCCCGGGAGGCCCA